GUGGGGAAUCUUAGACAAUGGGCGCAAGCCUGAUCUAGCCAUGCCGCGUGAGCGAUGAAGGCCUUAGGGUUGUAAAGCUCUUUCGUGGGGGAAGAUAAUGACUGUACCCCAAGAAGAAGCCCCGGCUAACUCCGUGCCAGCAGCCGCGGUAAUACGGAGGGUGCAAGCGUUAUCCGGAAUCACUGGGUUUAAAGGGUACGUAGGCGGUUAAUUAAGUCAGUAGUGAAAGACUGUCGCUCAACGACGGAUGUGCUAUUGAUACUGGUUAACUUGAAUCAGGUUAGAGUUGGCGGAAUGGGUCAUGUAGCGGUGAAAUGCUUAGAUAUGACUUGGAACACCGAUAGCGAAGGCAGCUGACUGAGCCUUGAUUGACGCUGAGGUACGAAAGUGUGGGUAGCGAACAGGAUUAGAUACCCGUGUAGUCC
rnacentral:rRNA from 1 species